rnacentral:rRNA from 1 species
UACGUAGGGUGCAAGCGUUAAUCGGAAUUACUGGGCGUAAAGCGUGCGCAGGCGGUUUUGUAAGUUUGUCGUGAAAGCCCCGGGCUCAACCUGGGAAUGGCGAUGAAGACUGCAAGGCUUGAAUCUGGCAGAGGGGGGUAGAAUUCCAAGUGUAGCAGUGAAAUGCGUAGAUAUUUGGAGGAACACCAAUGGCGAAGGCAGCCCCCUGGGUUAACACUGACGCUCAUGCACGAAAGCGUGGGGAGCAAACAGG